rnacentral:ncRNA from 1 species
AAGCAUAGGUCUGGGGAUCCUCGAUAUAGGUUAACCUUUCGGACUAUUGUUGAAUUCAUGGGUAGGCAAAAGCCAACUUAGUGAACUGAAACAUCUUAGUAGCUAGAGGAAAAGAAAGCAAAAGCGAUUCCUGUAGUAGAGGCGAGUGAAAUGAGAGCAGCCUAAA